GGGUGUGAAGGCUAUCUGACUGUGACAUCUGCCACCCUAUUGACACCAGGGUUGAUUUUACCUGGUGCUGGGCAGGUGUUUCCUUCCUUCACUGUUUCAUGUAUGUCUCUCCUGAAACUGCACACUUGGUUGGAGAGGACAAAUUUUACUGGAUAGAGCCAAGCCAUUCUUUGAAAUUAGCCAGUCUUCUUUGCUGGAACCACUAAACAAGCUCGUGAAACAGGAAUACUUAGUCAUCAUGUUAAAUGAAGUAAACCAGAAGAAGGACAAACACAGGAUGAUACCACUGAUAAAUGGUUAGGGUAACUGG
rnacentral:sRNA from 1 species